rnacentral:rRNA from 1 species
CGGAUGAACGCUAGCGACAGGCCUAACACAUGCAAGUCGAGGGGCAGCACGGUGUAGCAAUACACGGGUGGCGACCGGCGCACGGGUGAGUAACGCGUAUGCAACCUGCCUACUACAAGGGGAUAACCCGUUGAAAGACGGACUAAUACCCUAUAACACAGGGAAUCCGCAUGGAUAUAUUUGUUAAAGAUUUAUCGGUAGUAGAUGGGCAUGCGUUCCAUUAGCUUGUUGGUGAGGUAACGGCUCACCAAGGCAACGAUGGAUAGGGGAACUGAGAGGUUGAUCCCCCACACUGGAACUGAGACACGGUCCAGACUCCUACGGGAGGCAGCAGUGAGGAAUAUUGGUCAAUGGACGAGAGUCUGAACCAGCCAAGUCGCGUGAAGGAAGACGGCCCUACGGGUUGUAAACUUCUUUUGUAAGGGAAUAAAUAGUCUUACGCGCUAAGACGUUGCAGGUACCUUACGAAUAAGGAUCGGCUAACUCCGUG